rnacentral:rRNA from 1 species
AUUGAACGCUGGCGGCAGGCCUAACACAUGCAAGUCGAACGAGUGGCGGACGGGUGAGUAAUGUCUGGGACACUGCCUGAUGGAGGGGGAUAACUCCUGGAAACGGUAGCUAAUACCGCAUACCAUCAGAUGUGCCCUGGUGGGAUUAGCUAGUUGGUGGGGUAACGGCUUACCAAGGCGACGAUCCCUAGCGGGUCUGAGAGGAUGACCGGCCACACUGGAACUGAGACACGGUCCAGACUCCUACGGGAGGCAGCAGUGGGGAAUAUUGCACAAUGGGCGAAAGCCUGAUGGAGCCAUGCCGCGUGUAUGAAGAAGGCCUUCGGAUUGUAAAGUACUUUCAGCGGGGAGGCGUUACCCGAAGAAGAAGCACCGGCUAACUCCGUGCCAGCAGCCGCGGUAAUUC